rnacentral:rRNA from 1 species
CCCAGACUCCUACGGGAGGCAGCAGUGGGGAAUAUUGCACAAUGGGGGGAACCCUGAUGCAGCGACGCCGCGUGGGCGAGGAAGUAUUUCGGUAUGUAAAGCCCUAUCAGCAGGGAAGAAGAAAUGACGGUACCUGAGUAAGAAGCACCGGCUAAAUACGUGCCAGCAGCCGCGGUAAUACGUAUGGUGCAAGCGUUAUCCGGAUUUACUGGGUGUAAAGGGAGCGCAGGCGGCACGGCAAGCCUGAUGUGAAAGCCCGGGGCCCAACCCCGGGACUGCUCUUGGAACUGCGUGGCUGGAGUGCAGGAGGGGCAGGCGGAAUUCCUGGUGUAGCGGUGAAAUGCGUAGAUAUCAGGAGGAACACCGGUGGUGAAGGCGGCCUGCUGGACUGCAACUGACGUUGAGGCCCGAAAGCGUGGGGAGCAAACAGGAUUAGAUACCCCUGUA